GUCUAUGGCCCUGCCACCGUGAACACGUCUGAUCUCAUCUGAUCUCGGAAGCUAAGCAGGGUCGGGCCUGGUUGGUACUUGGAUGGGAGACCACCUAGGAAGACCGGGUGCUGUAGGCA
rfam:Pteropus alecto contig81829, whole genome shotgun sequence.